GCCGCGCGCGCGGCCCCCCGCGUCGGCGCGGCGCGCCCCCCGCCGCGCGUCGGGACCGGGGUCCGGUGCGGAGAGCCCCUCGUCCCGGGACAUGGGGCGCGGCCGGAAAGGCGGCCGCCCCCCCCUCGCCCGUCACGCAGCGCACGUUCGUGGGGAACCUGGCGCUAAACCAUUCGUAGACGACCUGCUUCUGGGUCAGGGUUUCGUACGUAGCAGAGCAGCUCCCUCGCUGCGAUCUAUUGAAAGUCAGCCCUCGACACAAGGGUUUGUCUCGGUCGGUCCUUCCCCGACCGCCCCUCUCCGGCGCGGCCCCGCCGCCGGCCGCCGACCGGCGGCCGGCGGAGGUCGAGCGGAAGGCGCGGGCGGGGCGCCCCUCCGGCGCGUCCCCCGCCUCGGCGCCCCGCCGCCCCCUCUCCGACCCCCGCCGGGGCCUCGCCCCGGGCUGGGACGGGGGAAGGGGAGGGCGGCGGGCGCGGCCGAGCGGUGGGCCGCCGGAGGGCGGCCCCGCGGCCCCUUUCCCAGGGGGGGCCGCGGGCCGGGGGGCCUCGGCGGUGCGCUCGCGGCGCGGACGCCGCCCGGGGCGGCCGCGGUCCGACGGCCGCCGCGCCUCGCGGGCGCGGCGUGCCGGCGGGUCGGCGUGCCGGCCGGUGCAUGGCCCUUGCGCUUCCCCGCCCCGCGCCUCUCUCUCUCUCUCCGCCCGCGUGGCGGGUCGACCAGCAUCCCGCCGCGUGGUUCGACCCGCCGCGGAGGCGUGGGUGGGGCGAGAGAGGGAAGGUGCGCCGGCGGGAGGCCGGGCGCGGGCGCGGGCGCGGGCGCCGCGCCGGGCUCGCCCGGGCCGGGCGGAGGGGUCGACCAGCUGUCCGGCCCGGACUCGGUCCCCGGACCGGGGCGCGCGGGUCGACCAGAUGACCGCGCCGAGCGCCGCGGGGACGCGGGGCUCUCGGCGGCCUGGGUGGGCUCCCCGGCCUCCGUCGGCUCCAGAGACCCCGCGGACUCGCGGGUGCGGCUCCCCGGUGGCCGACGCCCUGCCGGGUCGACCGGCGGCCCGGGCCCGGGCCCGGGCCCGGGUUCCGGCGGCGGCGCGGGUCGACCAGAUGUCCGCGCGGGGCGCACGCUCUUCUCGGAGCCCCGAGGGCUACGCGGAGGCCGCGGACGAGCAGCCGCGAGGCCGCCGGGGCCGCCGCCCUGCCUGGUCGACCAGCUGUCCGGCUCGGACUUGGUCCCCGGACCGGGGCGCGCGGGUCGACCAGAUGUCCGCGGCGCUCGGGGCCGGGUCCCGGGGCUCUGGGUGCUCUGGGUGCUCUGGGUGCGCUCCCGGCCCUCUGUCGGCUCCGAAGGCCCCGCGGACUCGUAGCCACGGGGUCCGGCGGCGCGCGGGUCGACCAGAUGUCCGCGCCGAGCGCCGCGGGACCGCAGGGCGCUCGGCCUUCUCGGAGGCUCGAGGGCUCCGGCGACCCGGCGGACGAGCAGCGGCGAGGCCGCUGGGGCCGCCGCCCUGCCGGGUCGACCGGCGACCCGGCCCCCGGGUCUCGGGUCUCGGGGGGGUGGGCGGGUCGACCAGAUGUCCGCACCGAGC
rnacentral:lncRNA from 1 species